UUACGGAAGGCAGCAGUGGGGAAUAUUGGACAAUGGGGGCAACCCUGAUCCAGCAAUGCCGCGUGAGUGAUGAAGGCCUUAGGGUUGUAAAGCUCUUUCGGCGGGGACGAUGAUGACGGUACCCGCAGAAGAAGCCCCGGCUAACUUCGUGCCAGCAGCCGCGGUAAUACGAAGGGGGCGAGCGUUGUUCGGAAUCACUGGGCGUAAAGGGCGCGCAGGCGGUCCAUCAAGUCAGGCGUGAAAGCCCCGGGCUCAACCCGGGAAUUGCGCUUGAGACUGGUGGACUUGAGGACGGGAGAGGAGAGUGGAAUUCCCAGUGUAGAGGUGAAAUUCGUAGAUAUUGGGAAGAACACCAAUGGCGAAGGCAGCUCUCUGGACCGUUACUGACGCUGAGGCGCGAAAGCGUGGGGAGCAAACAGGAUUAGAUACCCGUGUAGUCC
rnacentral:rRNA from 1 species